CCCAGUUUUGGAGACAAGAAAAAAGAAGAUACUUCAUUUAAAAAUCACACUCUAUCUGGAGUCAUUCCAGUGAGACUUAAGUGCUCAUGGAAGAAAACUAUGUGGAAAUGUGAACGAUGAUUAAGACAAAGAUAUCUUCAGGGAUGCACUGUGAGUGGUCAAUCAACCGAAUGCUAUCAAACAUCAAACCACCUCUUACUUGCUGCAGCCAAACACCAAACCUAGAAUCUGGGUUCAUGAUGUGUGCAUUGUGAGUGCUUCUACCAUUCUGUGCCUCUCUGUCCCUGAGCUAGAAUACGCAAGCCUCCAUUUCAUGGGAGUUCCUUGAGUUGUUUUUCAAUAUAAAUGUGCAGAAAUGUACAGUUAUUUUAGUGUGUCAGACUUUUUCCCUUGGUUGGAGUUUGUAACUAGGACCCUAGGGAAAACUCAGAUCAAUUCUUGUACUAGAGGUAAAGGCAAUGAG
rnacentral:lncRNA from 1 species